rnacentral:rRNA from 1 species
AGCAGCCGCGGUAAUUCCAGCUCCAAUAGCGUAUAUUAAAGUUGUUGCAGUUAAAAAGCUCGUAGUUGAAUUUCGGGAUCAAUAUGUUGGUCGUGCCUUGGUACGUACUGGCAUUAUCGAUUCCUACCUUCUGAAGAACCUCGAUGUCAUUAAUUUGGUGUCUUGGGGAAUCAGGACUGUUACUUUGAAAAAAUUAGAGUGUUUAAAGCAGGCUCGCGCUUGAAUACAUUAGCAUGGAAUAAUGAAAUAGGACGUUUGAUUCUAUUUUGUUGGUUUCUAGGAUCGACGUAAUGAUUAAUAGGGAUAGUUGGGGGCAUUAGUAUUCAAUUGUCAGAGGUGAAAUUCUUGGAUUUAUUGAAGACUAACUACUGCGAAAGCAUUUGCCAAGGAUGUUUUCAUUAAUCAAGAACGAAAGUUAGGGGAUCGAAGACGAUCAGAUACCGUCGUAGUCUUAACCAUAAACUAUGCCGACUAGGGAUCGGAUGAUGUUAAUUUUUAAUGACUCAUUCGGCGCCUUAAC